CAACAUACACCCAGCAUUCCAAUUUCCUGCAGCCAUCACUCGUACCCUAAAGUUCCCAUCCCUCUGUGGCUCUGCACCUCUAAAUGACAGGCUCUGGUGCUUCCAUCAAGCGUAUGCCAGUGUCCCCCUGAGCUUCCUCUGGCCGGCGUGCCUGGACCAGGGAGCUGCUUCUUUGCCAGCCAGCUACACACACUUCCAAGGAUGCUGCCGCAGUGUUAUUCCUCCCGCCACCUUUUUGUCAAGAAUAACAUUUUUAAUAAAUGAAUAGCUGCAGAUUCUCUCCAGAAAAAUUAUGGAACUCUCAUCAAAGAACCAUCUCGUAGUGCUUUUGCCUGAAGGUUUGCCUCUGCGGGUGCUUGUGUCACUUACCAGUUUCCUCUGCACUUGAGAAAAUUUGGCUUUCUCAUCUUUGAAUUAUGCCUCUGGAACAGUCAGACGUGCCCUGGGCCUCACAUGGGCAGCAUUAGGGUGGCACAUUUUCCCACAAGAUUAAGGAUUCGACUUGCCACUACACAUCCCUAAAUGACUCAUCAUCUGCUUUAUGUCCCCUUAGUGUAAGAUGUCCCAAGACACAUUGAAGUCCUUUGAGAUGUGAGUAAGCUUUAGCUUAUUCUGCAUCCUCCUACAUCACAGGACAACAAAGACCACCCUGAACUGGUGGUUCUGUGAGUGGGAGCCAUCGCCAGGGGCCUCAGACUAUAAAAAGGUGUCAAGACCGACAGGGCAGAGGAAAGGGCGGUGGAUGUCCAGACCUUGAAGCAGGCCCCAGCAUCUUCCUCAAGAUGCUUGCGAUUGCUGGAAGUCUGAACUCUGAUUUACAGAGGGGGUGUUAUUUACUUCAACAUGAUUGAAAGUGUUCCACAAUCUGUCUAUCUUUGGAUAUGUCUACUCUCCUGGCAUCACACAGAACCAGACACAGCCUAAGGCCUUAUGUUUCCUGUUAACUUAACAACCUGCACAAAUGUCUCUUCUACACAUUAUCAAUGUGUCCUUCAUAGCCGUGUAAUUCGUGAAGCCAUCUCAGCCUGAUCUGAAUAAGCAAAAUCCUGCCAGCUGUGGGACGUGAGGACCCAACUGGUUCGCACAACCAAGCACAGUAUCAAAAUACUCGUCCUAGCCCAGAACGGCAGCUGUUAUACCUUUUGAGGAGU